GUGCCAGCAGUCGCGGUAAUACGUAAAAGACGAGUGUUAUUCAUCUUUAAUCGGUUUAAAGGGUACCUAGACGGAAAAUCAAGCUUAAUUAAACUAAGGACUAGUUUUCUAGAGUUUGACAUGAGAAGGUACGAACUAUCAGAGGAGAGAUAAAAUUUGUUGAUACUGGUGGGACGGACAACGGCGAAGGCAAUCUUCUACUAAAAACUGACGUUGAGGGACGAAGCCUUGGGGAGCGAGAAGGAUUAGAUACCCUAGUAGUCCUUGGAGAAAAUUAUGAGUGCCAUAGACUAAAGUGAAAAAGAAGUUCUUUUAAAAGAACUUUGUAUCUGAGCCUUAAUUGGAUACAAAGGUCUCGAGUAGCAGUUUAUAAAUGAAAGUGUAAGCAUUCCACCUCAUGACUAAAGCGGCAACGCCCAAAUUGAAAUCAUUAGACCGUUUCUGAAACCAGUAGUGAAGUAUGUUAUUUAAUUCGAUAACCCGCGAAUAACCUUACCACGUUUUGAAUUUAUUAAACAAGUGUUGCACGGCUGUCUUCAGUUAAUGUCGUGAGAUUUUGGUUUGUUCCAUUAAUUAACGAAAACCCUUGUUUCAUUUUUAUAUAUGAAAUAGUUCACCGUUAUAUUGGAAAGAUAAAAGGGAUCAAGACAAGU
rnacentral:rRNA from 1 species